rnacentral:rRNA from 1 species
UACGGAGGGUGCAAGCGUUGUCCGGAAUCACUGGGCGUAAAGGGCGCGUAGGCGGCUCAUGAAGGCUGUGGUGAAAGUCCGGGGCUCAACCUCGGAUCGGCCGUGGCGACUCGUGGGCUGGAGCACUGUAGAGGCGGGUGGAAUUCCGGGUGUAGCGGUGGAAUGCGUAGAGAUCCGGAAGAACACCAGUGGCGAAGGCGGCCCGCUGGGCAGUGGCUGACGCGGAGGCGCGACAGCGUGGGGAGCAAACAGG